rnacentral:misc_RNA from 1 species
AGAGCUAUACGUGUCCCUGACGUGUACCUAUGUUUAUGUAGUUAGUAAUCCGCAGGUCUGUUAAUAGAAAGUUCAUUCAAAACAUGAAUAAAGUCAGUCAUUUCAAGAAAAAUUCAAGUUUGGCGCCUUUCUCCCAUGUAAAUGUUGCCGCCAGUCUCGAUCAGUUGUCAGUAAGUUGGAAAGUACAGCUGAGAGAAGUGUUUUGCGGACCUCGUGGUAGUGUGACUCAUUGUAAAACGUUGAACUCUAUUUUUGUCGAAAUUUUGUAAAAAUGGAAAGUGUUAUUUCUGAUUUUCUAACAAGCACGGUGUUUGUUUUUUCGCUACUUAUUGGUGCAAGUGGUUUACUUAUACUGUACUUUAUCAAAACGUUUAAACAGGAGGCAGUUAUCGAGAAAACCAAAAACGAAAAAUCAACCGUCUAUUCCGAAAAGAAAAAAGAUUUGCCGCAGGCCGGGAAACGUAAGAAGAAGACCGUCGAAAAUAGAUGGACUGGAAAACACGACAAACAUUCGUAUUCUAAUCCAUGGCUUUUAGUUUCGCUAAAAGGUCAUACUGGAAACAUUCUGGAUAUGGACUUCAGCAGUAAUGGCAAAUAUAUGACUUCAUGUGACGACGCUGGAGCAGUUUUUCUUUGGGAUACCAAAGAUUUCAGCUCAAAGGAUAGGAAAUCUUUACGAGUCAAUAUUGAGUUCGAUCAUGCUACUCAUGUGAAGUGGAGUCCAGAUUCCAAAGCCUUUAUUAUUAACAAAUACAAUGAAAAUGCUGUCGAAGUCUAUAAAGUCGAGAAGAAGAAAGAUGGGUUUCUUACUGCAUCCAAAGCUUUUACAUUUCCAAAGCACCAUGAGACUGACAUUGUAGGAAUGGGAAUCGCAUCCAACGGAAAAUUCAUUAUAACAUGUUCAAACAAGACUGAUUUAGUUGUAUGGGACCUAAAAGGACAGAAGAUGGCGGUGCUUGAUACUUACCUUAUGAAUAAUACAUGCGCCAAAAUAUCACCUUGCGGAAAGUUUAUUGUGGUAUCAGGAUUUAGUCCCGAAGCCAAGGUGUGGGAGGUGUUCUUUAAUAAAUCUGGCGAAUUUCAAGAAGUCAAACCGAUCAAAGAGCUUACUUUGGGGGGACACACUUCCGGUGUUUACGAUGUUGGCUUCGAUGUGGAUUCAUCGCACAUGGCCACUGUUUCAAAGGACGGAUCGUGGCAUCUUUAUGACACCAAAGUUAGCUACAAGCAGGGAGAAAAUGCUCGUUUACUUAAAUCUGGACAAUACGAAAAAUCUGGCAACUAUGCACUAAUUGCUCUAUCACCAAAUGCGGAGGUCGUAGCAAUCGCUACAGCGAAUGAUGUUGCUCUGUAUUCUACUUGGACUACUGAAUUGGACCACAAGAUUGAAAACAUCUAUGAAGGUAACAUUACUGCCAUCAUGUUCGACUCAACUGGAAAAUUCCUGCUUACUGCCGGCGACAAGCAAAUCAGAGUUUUUCACAACGUUACCGGAUACAAAUGCGGCAUCGUCACUGCCAAGGAAAAACUCAAGGAACACGUUACUUCUGCCACCAAGGAACGACUCGAAAAGUUGAUCAAGGAAAAUCAAGCAUUUUUGGAUAAUAUUGUUGAUAAAUAAUCACUUUAUAAGACUGUUGUGAAUGCAGAGUGUCUUAAAAAAUAUUAAAGUCGAUCUCAAAUUUAGUUACGAUUAUUUUAAAGUAAAAGGUUUUAUCGGAAAAUUAUUUUAAAGUACAUGCAGAUACUUAAUAUUUUACAAAAUUUUCUACUUUAAAAAUUAAAGCUAGAAUAGAAUAGUUAUGUGGUUAUAUAUACACAUUUUUAUUUCUCUUCUGAGCUUUUUCAUAUUAUAUUUAUUCAUUUAAUUUUUGACCUAUUAUAUUUUCUAUAAAUUUUCAUUCAAAUGCCUGUUUCGUUUUUUUUUCUCGUCCAAAUUGUCCAAAAUAUUCAUCUGUCCAAACUAUCAAAUGGCCUUUUGUAAUAAUAGCAUAAAUAUAAUUUUCUCUCGGUCUCCAGUUGCUAUCUGAAUUCUUUGUUUAUUCUUCUAGACCUUUUUAUUUCCAUAUGCACAUUCCGUAAUUAUGCAGCAUGUUUAUGUUUCAUUUUAUAAUCGUAUGCAGGAUUUUUAUCUUUCAUGUUGUAUAUGUGUAUUUCUUGCUGAAUUUCAUGUACAUUCUCUUAUUUUUCCAUUCUCUUAUAUUCUUCUUUUUUACUCUUUUAUCCGCUUCAUGACUACAUCCUGUCUGCAAUCCUUCCUUCUUUUUUCGUGACCGAGCCAUUCUAGUCUACGUUUUUUAGCUACUCUUGAUACAUGAGGGUUGUGGUAUAGUUAGUACACUUCCUCAUUAGUUCGUCUUCUCCGUUCACUCUUCACUUACCAUUUUACCAAGCAUCCUUACUUCCCAUUAUUAUUGAACUGUUUUAUUCAUAAUCCAUGUUCCGGCAUCUUAUAACAGUGUUGUCCUAAUAACCGUUUUGUAUAUCCUUAUGUGUGUGUUGCAAUAUUAUUUUCCCUUAAUAAUUUUGCUCACAGCUCCAGCACAUAUAUUGCUCUUGGUCAAUCAAGUGAACUUCUAUUUAUUCCUUACAUGUCUCUUCAAUAAGUAUGCGCAACUACAUCGCACACCUAGUUCAAUAGUGCCACAAGUGCAAAACACAAUAUUCUCGAGAAAUGAGCAGAACGUUCUCUAGUAAACGCGUUAUGCCCUGUAAAUAAUUUAUUUUGAGAAUGACUGGCUUCAAAAUUACAAUUUAGGUAGCAAAUUAUACACUUAUUGGCUGGAUCUUAUUACAAUUUAUUAAAAAUAAAACGUAAUUAUUAUUUUGAUAGUUAUGGCGAUAUUGCAUUGUGAAAAAAGUCAUUUAUAAAACGAUACCUAGGAGAUACGGCGGCAAUAUAAUGAAAAAAUCAAUUGAUUUUUGCAGUUCUGGCCGUAUUGAAUUAUAUCGGUUGUAUUGUGGCAGUGUAAAUUAUCGCCACAUCUCUCUUGAUUUUUGCAGUUGUGGCCGUAUUGAACGUAUUGAAUUACAUCGGUUGUAUUGUGGCAGUGUAUAUUAUCGCCACAUCUACCAGUUAUGGCCAUAUUGCAUUUUCAAAACCUCCAAAAACCCUACAGUUGAAUACCGAAGUAACUUACUUUAUACUUAUCCAAAACAAUAUUUUAGUUCAGGCUGUAUUGCAUUAGAUGGGCCAUUAUAUAGGCAAUAUUUUACAGCCUUAACCCAAAAUUCGAAUUUUUUGCAGUUGUGGCACAACUGAACUAGGUGUGCGACAUAUAUUUUUUUACCUUUUCAAAUUAUAUGACGGCUCUCUGGUUUAAGUGGGUUUUAUUUUAAGCUAGUAUUCUUGCAUGUUUUUUCUUGUUUGGAGAACAACUAACCAUUAUCUUGCUCCGCCUGAAGGGUGACCUUCACCCUCUAUCUUUUCCCUGCUUGUCUCCUACCGCUCUGCCAUCACCGCUAUUUGUAUACAUACUAUAUCGUCCCAAGCGCUGCGGAAGGAAUCAUAUUGGCUUCAACAGCUCAAAUCUAAACUCCUAUGUCGCAAUUUUUUCGGAUUUCCGCUAAUACGAUCCGUUGGGUUGUAGAUAACUUCACUGGACAAACUCUUUCUUGAACGAUGCGCGAUUUGUAUCUGCUUGACAUUUGCGCACAUCAUUGCUACCUAUGGACGUAUAUUAACAUAAACUGAGCAUACCAGCCGCGCGUGCUGACAACAAGAUAUCUUGCGGUAGUUCUCUGUCUCUCUUUAGCGAAUUAAAACUCCUCACGGUCUCCCUCUCUCUCUUGCACCAACAAGAGAUACUUACUUAAUAUAAGACACAGACACAACGAAGGCGGCGUCACUUAGCUCUACAGACUGCUCAAUCUAUAGAAAAGUCAUAGAAAUAUAUUAAUACCAUUCACACCGGUCACCGAUUUUAGACGGUGGAAAUAAAAGUAGUUUUCUUUAUCUGCGGUUAUAUUUUUUGACAGAUUAUCAGCAUAUUUUCUGAUUUAUAGAUAUCUUUUGUGAAAAAUAAAGCUGAUUCUGACUCUUUGAGCUGAUUUAUAGAUAUCUUUUAGUUUUAUUCCAAACUUAACACACAUUGUGUGCCACGUCGCUCAUAUAUGAGAGACAGAUAUUUUGCCAGGGGCCACGUCGCUCAUUUUUGAUAUACACGUAUGAGGAACUUUCAUGGCCGUGGAUAUCAAUGGCCCCUGAGAGUACUAUCCCGAUUAAAGCGUGGCACGCAAUGUGUUAAUAUAAUAUUAAUUCUUCACCGUUGAACACGUAGUAUCGGUCUCCACCGGUUAGUGUAAUAAUUUAUCACGUUGUUUACUUACUUACUCCGUGGUGUUCCAACCCUUCGUGGGUUUUAGCCGACUCGACAACAUGCUUCCACUCUUCUCUGUUUUGAGCAACCUCUAUCCAAUUCUCCACGCCCAUAGCUUUCAGGUGUCCUGCUAUAUUAUCUCGCCACCGGAGUCGAGGGCGUCCGCGUUGUCUUCUUCCAGUUGGGACUUCCUCCCAUACCAGCCUUAGGGUACGUUCAUAAUGGAGAUCAUCGCAUCGUAUCUUUGCCUAGAGCAUAGUAUCGUACUCUUUAUGCUCUUAUUUAAAAUAAUGCAUUUAAUUUACCUGGCGAUCGAUAGUAUGGUACGAGCGAUACUAUGGAGCGAGAGUCGGCGCUUCGUUGUGAGCGCCCACUUACUGUUCUUUGGUCAGAAUGUCUUCUGAGGUGUUCUGUCCAUUGGAGUCUUCUGAACUUAAUUUCUUUUAUGAUGUUGCCCUCUGGGUAAAGUUCUUCCAGUUCUUUGUUAGUUUUUAUUGUAUAUUGUCCCGCUACUUCAUUAAACACAGAUCCAAAGAUCUUCCUUAGGAUUUUUCUUUCCUAAACACGUAGUCUCUCUUACAGGCGUGGAUUUAGAAAUUCAUCAUAGGGGGAGCCAGAUUUACCUCAAAUAUUAUAUUGUCCAGAUUUAGCCAUAAGACUCACACUUACUCUAAACUCUAAGGAUAAAAUACACUAUAUAAUCCCAGAUACCUACGGUAUCAAAAGGAUUGAUAGACAUCGAUUGAAAGACAAUAAUUCACGACUAUUAAUCUCACUGGUCGCUCUUUACCAACUGUAGGUGUAAAAGUGUACAGAUAAACCUUUCUACCAUCAAUGGGUAGGUACGCCUGGAUUAUCUAGUAAAAUUCAAAUUUUUAUAUCUUUAUUGUAUCGCAAAUUUGAAACGCGACUUUUCAUGAGACAAGGUUUAUACCCUGUGUAAUGUAUUUGCAUUUUAAAAUAUUAUUUUUGAUAUUCUUUAAACUGAGAAAAAUAUUUCAGUUGUUUAUGGUUCCAUCGGUACCCAAACAAAUGCGCCUGCAGUUUAUUUUUCAGAGGAGGGUGUUCUAUUAGAUUUUAUGGCUUCUUUCAAUUCUUUGGAAGCGGUUGUCGUAUAAUUUAGUGUUCUACUGAUGGCCUUAAGUUUAGAGUUGACAGAAAAAAUAAUAAUAAAAAAAUAUUUAUAGACUAAAAACAAUAGGGAGUCCAUGGACCCAUUGACCCCCCUGUAUCCGCGCCUGCUCUCUUCGUUUUCCUUUGUUUUCGUUCACGUUUCGCUUCCAUACAUGAGAACUGGGCCUCGAUUUUUGACCCUUCGCUUCGUUAUCGAACGUAUUCGCUUCUUAUCUGUUUAGUAUACGUAGCGAAUACAUUCGAUAACGAAGCGAAGGGUCAAAAAUCGAGGCCCUGGUCGUAUGAUUGUUUUAUAUACAUGUAUCGUUGUACAUCUUAUGAGUUGUUUCGAUUUUAUAAGGUUUUGAAGGGCAUAAAGACAUCUGUUGCCGGCUUGUAUCCUAUUGUUUAUUUUUUAUCCGUUAUUGUCUUUAGUUAUUGUUGUUCCAAUAUACUUAAAUUCUCUAACGCGCUCAAAGUUAAAGUCAUCGAUGGUGAUGUUCUGACCGAUUCUGUCUCUGUUUUGGUUAUUGCGGCUCAUAUCGUCUGCAAAUGCCAGUAGUAAGUUUGGUCCUUCUCGAUGAAAUACUGUAGUCGGUUUUUCGAUUCUUGCACUGCUGAUUAUGUGUUCCAGAGCUAAGUUAAAGAGUUGUGGUGAAAGUGUAUCUCCCUGUUUUAGUUCGUUGUUUAUUUCGAAUGUCUCCGAGUAUUUUUGUCCAACUCUCACCUUAUAUCGUAACCGUUCCAUAAACAUUCGUAUCAAACUGACUAGUUUUUUUGGCAAGCCAAGUUCCUGCAUCGUUGUCCACAGUAUAGCCCUGCAUACUCUAUCAAAUGCUUGUUUAAAAUCUAUGAACAUCUCACGAUCAAACUCUCAGCAUUUUCCAUUAUCUGUUUCAUUGUGAAAAUCUGGUCAAUAAUAGAGCGGCCUGGUCUAAAUUCGCAUUGAUAAUCCCCAACGAUUUCUUCUGUGUAUGUUUCGGUUCUUUCUAGCUGGAUGUUUGCAAGGACUUUGUAGGUGGUAUUUAGGAGUGUUAUUCCCCAGUAGUUAGUACAGUGAAUCCAUUCACCUUGUGGUUGUUUUUAUUUAUUAUUUAAAAUCUUUAAAAUAAUCGACAGUCUUUAAAGGAUUUGUUUAAUUACUACUUCAGGCUUCAACGUGACCUAAAAAGCUAUCAGUGUCUGUGUAAUUAAUAAUAUGAUGAAGAUGAGCGUAUCUAAUACUUUCCUUCUUUAUUGACAAAAUUCCUUUAACCAGCAUUAAAAGCUUUGACAUAACUAAUUACAAUUCGUAAUUUAUGAUCAAAUAAUCUGCAUAUACUUUAACAAAAAACAUUUCUUACGUUUGUAGUAAUUUUAAUUUUAUCUACCUCAUUUAACCAUGAAAAUAACAAUGCAACGUGUCUCCAGUAAGCAAGCACUUUCAAAGUGUUUACUGAUUCCGUAUAUGGUGUUUUAAUUAUUUUUGCCUAGUUAAGAUAUUUAUGUAUUAACAUUAGAGGUUAAACAAGUCAAUAAAGUAAACGAAGUCACGUCAUGAUAGUUUAGUGUGUUCCUCAUGGUAAUACGAUUCCAUAUAAAUUAAAUUGGUAUAUCUCCUAUUCUUAAACGGAGUGUGUAUUACAAAUUAAAUCAAAGAGAUAAAUUAAAAAUUGUUUGUUUAUGAGCAAUUAUUUGCUUUUGAUGGGCUACAAUUAUUUUUACACUGAUGGCAACUAUGGACAACAGUUAUUAGUCACUGAGACAUGUCUGAACCCUAUAAUUUUGUGACAAACAACUACAGUUAGUUUAUUAGUUCUUCAAUAGGUAAAUAUUUGGUAAUGGUUCAUUUUUGUAAAAAUUUUAGCGAUGGUAAUUUCAAUUUUAUUGUGUUGCAAAUAAAAAAAACUUUCUACGUUACAUAUUGUUGAAUCUAGACAGUUCUUCUUCUUUUGGCAUCAUAAUUCUGGAUGGAUCUUUGCGUGUCUUAUAUUAUUGGUUUUCAGGUCGUCUUCCACGUCAUCCAACCAUCUUUUUAUGGACCUUCCUUUUUUUCGUCUUCCUAUUGGUUUCCACUGUAAUAUUUUCUUUGUUGUUUUUGUAUCUUCAUGUCUCUGGACACGUCCCAGCGAUGACAAUCUUUGACUUUUCACAAAUCUUGCAAUAUCCGUGCCCUUUAUUUAAUUACUUCAUUAAUUUAGUAGUUUCUCCUUCUUCUCUAUGUACCAUCCUCCUCUUGCACCGGGCUGUAUACCUUUUUCAGUAUCUUUCUCUCGAAUAUCUUAAGUUGGGCUUCAUAUUUUUUUUCAUUACCUAGGUUUCACAUCCAUCUGUUACUAACAGGUCUUCUUUCUGUGGUCAGAUAUGUGAAGUCAUCCACACGUUCGAUGGUAUAGUCAGGGCCGUAACUACCAUUGGGGCAGUGCCCCGAGGCCCCCAGCCAAGGAAAGCCCCGCAGGGGCCCCCUUUUCUUUGGCCGUGCAUACAUUUUAACGAAGAACAUAAAAAUAUGUAUUUUAAAAGCCGACCCCAACGAAAUAUUUUCAACUGACACAAUUUUAAAAAGAUCUUACAGGGGCACCUUUGACCUCAACAUAAAGUUUUAAUUUUUCGCUGGGAAAAUUAGUAUUUUUGACUAAAAUGUAAUUGGAACGGACCUUAACAUGAAAAUUUAAAUUAUCACUUAGGAAAUUAGUUAUUUCCGCAAAAUAAAACCUAAAAUGUCAUUGGAAGAGGGGGCCCGGGCUAAGCUACAACAAGUCCAGGAAGGGAUGCCUCAGGGGAGUAUUUAAUCGCCCAUACCAUAUAACAUUUUUGUUUCAGAUUUUCCAACAGAUGUAAGAACAUUGUAGCCGAACAAUGUAAUUAAUAUUAUAGUAUCUUUUUUUAUGACAACAUAAAAGAUGUUAUAUUGAUGGUACUUGCAAAAUUAUUUAGUUUAAAAUAAGGUGAUUUCAAAUUUUUUUGUGUUGGUCUAAAAUAGCAAUAUGAAGGUACAAGAAAUUUCAGUCAUGAAAUGCAUUAAAAUGCGUUUUCAAGGGGUUAAAUGUCAAACAUUUUUCCGGAAUCCCCCUUCUGCUGGGGGCAAACCCCCCAAACUCUCCGGUAGAGGGCCCCCAGAUGACCAACAUCGUAGUUACGGCCCUGGGUAUAGUUGUCUAUUGCGAUAUUAUUUUUAUUCUCAGGUGUUCUUUGACGGUCAUGUAAGUACUUCGUUUUUAUUUCGCUUAUUUUAAGACCUCUUUUUCGUGCUUCAGGAUCAGUUUCCUUGAACGCUUCCAUUAUUCUUUGUUAAUUUAGACAGUUACUCUUUUUAUUUUACAUGUGUACUUUAUGUGGGCUACAGGUUUAAGUAAGUAAUCGUUCGAUCCACAAACUUCUCCUCUUUUCCUAAUGACAUUAAUUACUAUUGUUUGUGAUUGCUGUCCCGUUGUGAACCUUUCAUUCUUUGUCUCCACGUGUAUUUGUGGAUUUCUUUAUGUUUAUAAUAUCCAUCUGGUGUUUUUACUGAAUGUUUCUAACUCCUUCUAACCUCUUCUUAUAAAGUACCCAGUAAGAACCUCCUCGACCUCCAUAAGUGCUUAUUACUUUACCUAAUUUUUCAACAAUUAUUUUCCAUUAUGUCUCCAGUGGAGUCAUCAGUUGAACCCCACUUUUACCAGAUCUUAUCAUUGUAGUUUCAGUUCCACUGUGAUUAGGGAUUAUUCUUUUGUUGACGGCAGAUGAUUUUUAAUAUUUUUAAAUGUUUGUCUUUUGUUGAUUAUUUUAGAAACUUCUGGUUUUGCUCUCUUUUCUUUAUUGACUCCAAUGUAAAAAUUUACAUAGUUUCCGUUUAUUUCCUUUUCUUGUCGUUUCCAGGUUAUUUAGCGACUCGCUAUCAUGUUGAAUGUUGAUAGUUCAUUAUAGACCUCAGAAUCAUCUGAUGUCUUCUUCUUUUCCCAUCAAGUAUUUUGUCAAUGAAAUGAUCAUAUCUGUCGUAUCGGAGGUAAUUAUUUAACAGUCCCGAUAGAAGUCUGUGGACCUGAUGAUUUUCAUGGUGUUUUGUACGUUCAUAAGUAAUAUUGCGCUACUUCUAUAUGAAAAUUCAACUGAGAAAACCAACAAAUUUUCGACAUAUUACCCAUGCAAUAUCAUUUUUUGCACGAUUGAUCAUUUUUGACUGUUUACCGUGACAGAUUUUACGUCAGUAGGUGACAUUUACUAGCAACUCGACGGUAAGUAAUCCAACUCGACGGUAAGUACUCCAACUCGACGGUAAGUAAUUCACUUACCGACGAGUUAAAAAAUCUCUUAAUUUUAAUUUAUUUUUUGAAAGAAUAAAGAAAACUAACGAAUUAUUUAUUAAUAUUGAAACUUAUGGUACAAUUUGUUAAAUUAUUUUGCAGAAUUUCUAAAUAUGGAAUUUUAUCGUCUGGUUUAUUAACGACUGUAAAAGUACGCUGGAUGUUCGUUUUUGUAUUGGGUACUUUUACAAUCAUUAAACCAUCGGUUUGUUGGAUGUCAUGCAUAGUAAUAUUAUAUCAUUCUUCUCUUCUACAGGCACCAGAUAUUCCCAAUAUCAUUGCGACCUACAAAUUAUGAAAAAAUCUUCAUUAGAGUAUUUCUUUUACCUAAACUAGCUUAUAUUACCUUGUGAACUAGAAAUUCUUCAUCCGGUGCUUCCAUCAGAAAUUUUUCAAAUUGCUCCCGUGUAAAAAUGCUCGCUUUCUUAGGCCUAUAGCCAAUAUUUUUUCUCUUCAAAUACGCGAUCAAAGUUGAAAACUUGGAAAUAUCAAUGCCAUGAUAAAGAAAAACGGUGGAUUUAAUCAUUGAAUAUUCUGCCCAGAGGCUUCCAGGAGCUUUCAACUGCAUAUAUCUUUGAACGAAAUAUGCCAAUGGAGUCUUUUCUUCGAUUCUUAAAUUCUUGCCUUCGCACCAUUUUUUAAAACUUUGGUAGGUAUUAAACAUGGUCGUGUUUCGUAUUAAACAGAAUAAAUAUAAAUAAUUACUAUUCUGCCAACGUCCACUGCUGAUUUGCAAUUUCUAAAAUUUCCACUCAUAUUAUUACUGUAUUAGUGUAUAUUAAUAACAGUGCACCUGGCUUGCGCAUUAAACAAUGACUGAGUUUAUUUCUCAGGAGACACAACGAGAGUGGAACAAAAUGCACUGCAGUCAACAUAAACUAAGGAAAUCUACACGGAGAUUAGUCAAUUUAUUGCAAGUGAUCUUUGUUACCAUAUGGUUACAGUGGACACUAAUAGGUGUCUCACUUGCGCAUUAAACAAGGACUGAGUUGAUUUCUCGGGACACUCAACGAUAGUGGAACAGAAUGCUCUGCAGUCAACAUGAACUAAGGAAAUCUACACAGAGAAUAGUCAAUUUAUUGCAAGUGCUCUUUGUUACCAUAUGGUUACAGUGGACACUAAUAGGUGUCUCACUUGAGCAUUAAACAAGGACUGAGUUUAUUUCUCAGAAGACAAAACGAAAAUGGAACAAAAUGCACUGCAGUCAACAUGAACUAAGGAAAUCUACACAGAGAUUAGUCAAUUUAUUGCAAGUGAUCUUUGUUACCAUAUUAUAGUUACAGUGGACACUAAUAGGUGUCUCACUUGCGCAUUAAACAAGGACUGAGUUUAUUUCUCAGAAGACACAACGAGAAUGGAACAAAAUGCACUGCAGUCAACAUGAACUAAGGAAAUCUACACAGAGAUUAGUCAAUUUAUUGCAAGUGAUCUUUGUUACCAUAUUAUGGUUACAGUGGACACUAAUAGGUUAAAAAUUUCUCGUCGUGGCAUUUAAUUAACUCUCUCAUUUGCAACAAAAUAUUUAAUUGCUUAGACAUGACAUUAGAAAACCACUAUCAUAUUUAUUUCUAUUUGAUUUUUCUUUGUCAUAUAAAAUAUCUAGAUGCAACGGUUAUACCAUAAUAUAGGUAACUACCUAUUUUUUACUUUUCCAUUUUGUACUACUAUGUAACCGUUUUUUUAUUCGGUUAUACCAUAAUAUAGGUAACUACCUAUUUUUUACUUUUCCAUUUUGUACUACUAUGUAACCGUUUUUUUAUUCGGUUAUACCAUAAUAUAGGUAACUACCUAUUUUUUACUUUUCCAUUUUGUACUACUAUGUAACCGUUUUUUUUAUUCCUACGGGCAUUAUUAUAUAUUUUAUUUAUUUCCUGAGUGGUGUAGUGCCAUGAUACUUCAUUGCAGUGCACAGAGAUAUUGGUUCGAAUCCACAGCAAUGGAAACUUUAGGAUGUAAGUAAUUAUAUCUCGAAUGGAGCGCCUCCAAAGUCAAGACUGUCCAAAAAAUAUUACGUAAAAAAAUUAAGUCAUUAAUGAGAAAACAAAUGGUGCCGUCCUGGUAAUUUAUAAUAACUUAAGAGUUUUAUUCGGAAAAAAGUUAUUUUUUAAGGUCACUCUGUAUAUCAUUUCAUAUUUUGUAUUGAUGUUUAUAUAAAGUUAUUCAAGAUA